GACGAACGCUGGCGGCGUGCUUAACACAUGCAAGUCGAGCGGUAAGGCCCUUUCGGGGGUACGACGAGCGGCGAACGGGUGAGUAACACGUGGGUGACCUGCCCUUACGCUCUGGGAUAAGCCUGGGAAACUAGGGUCUAAUACCGGAUAUGACUCCAUGACGCAUGUUGUGGGGUGGAAAGCCUUGUGCGGCUAGGGAUGGGCCUGCGGCCUAUCAGCUUGUUGGUGGGGUGAUGGCCUACCAAGGCGACGACGGGUAGCCGGCCUGAGAGGGCGACCGGCCACACUGGGACUGAGACACGGCCCAGACUCCUACGGGAGGCAGCAGUGGGGAAUCUUGCGCAAUGGGCGAAAGCCUGACGCAGCGACGCCGCGUGGGGAUGACGGCC
rnacentral:rRNA from 1 species